rfam:Strongyloides papillosus strain LIN genome assembly, scaffold: SPAL_contig0003916
GGCGGAAUGGCCGAGCGGUCUAAGGCGUUGGAUUUAAGACCCAAUAUCGUAAGAUGCGUGGGUUCGAACCCCACUUCCGUCA